rnacentral:rRNA from 1 species
CCUACGGGUGGCAGCAGUGAGGAAUAUUGGUCAAUGGGCGCGAGCCUGAACCAGCCAAGUCGCGUGAAGGAUGACUGCCCUACGGGUUGUAAACUUCUUUUAUAAAGGAAUAAAGUGAGGCACGUGUGCCUUUUUGUAUGUACUUUCUGAAUAAGGAUCGGCUAAAUCCGUGCCAGCAGCCGCGGUAAUACGGAGGAUCCGAGCGUUAUCCGGAUUUAUUGGGUUUAAAGGGAGCGUAGAUGGGUUGUUAAGUCAGUUGUGAAAGUUUGCGGGUCAAACGUAAUAUUGCAAUUGAUACUGGCAGCCUUGAGUACAGGUGAGGUAGGCGGAAUUCGUGGUGUAGCGGUGAAAUGCUUAGAUAUCACGAAGAACUCCGAUUGCGAAGGCAGCUUACUAAACUGCCACUGACAUUGAUGCUCGAAAGUGUGGGUAUCAAACAGGAUUAGAUACCCUUGUAGUC